CUCAACGUGGCCUGACGAGUGGUGCCGAACCCUGGGCCGCGGCAGCGGAGCGCGAGAACUUAACCACUCGGCCACGGAGCCAGCCCCUGAGCAGAUGCUGAGUGAACGUGCGUGCUGCACCAGAUCAUGAGGACGUGGAAGAAGUGCCGCACGGACAACUGGCUCUGAUGUUCUUGUGAGUUCAGUCUUCGCUCUUCCGUCCUCCCUCUUGGUUGCACAGCCCUGGAGAUGCCUGACAGGGAGGACCUCUCUUCUCCUCUGACCUCCUACACCUCAAACGCCUACCUUAACUUCUUGAACAAAAGGCUCAGGUUGCUUAUGGCCUCGGUGCCUUAGCAUGUCCUGAUAACCUCAACCUGGACCACCUUCCUGCACCGUGUCUGCUUGCUUGGCUCAACUAGCGAGCUCCUUCUGGAAUCCUUCUUUGACCCGCCUCCCUUCUCCCUCAGUUGCAUCUGGUUUGGUCUCCCCUGGGCUCCCAGACCACUCGGUAAUUGCCCCUAUUACAGCACGCCCAUAGAUAGGUUUGUGUAGUCAUCUUUAAUGUGCUAGUGCAUAAACUUGAAAGCAAAGAUCUUUUUUUUUAAUCUUUGUAUUCCCAGCACCUCACAGCAGGGUGCUUAAAUGAGUGGCUCUGACAUCUCAAACUGGUGACCCACAGGCCUAAUCCAGCCCGCCAGACUGUUUUGUUUGGCUCUUUUUAAAAUUUAUUUUUAGAAGUUUCAGGUCACAUUUUCAAAUCUGGUUUUACAUACAAAGCAUGGUCUUUGACUUCUCUUGAAGAAUAAGAUAUGGCCACCCUGCGCCUAUUUCCACAUGGCAGCAGGUACCUGGUGCAGACAUGGGCCACUUGAGAUGGGACACGAGCUCUCCACUUCAUCACAGCCUGGCCACUCCCUAGCGCCUCUCCAUUGAGGCUAAGUAUGAGGUGUCAUUUAUCCUGCGUGUGCACUGACAUUUUUCUUGGAGUGACAUAUUUCUCAGUACCAAAGGAGAGAAGAUGACUAAAAUAUCUUUCAAGAAUAAUGGGAGAGAGCUCCUUUCUUGGCAGGAAUGAAGAAUUGCCUCUGUGUUUAUUAGGCACAUGAAAUGUGUCUGUCUCCCCCUGCUUUGCUUGUUCACGUUAUCUUCCUGGAAGAUUAGAGCUAUUUGAGGUUUUGACCCUUUGAGUAGAGACUCAAAAGCUGUUUGAGGAAGGGAGGGUGGAAGGAAGGAAAGAAAAACAAGUUCAGCAAAUGGUUAAGAUACCAAACUUUUUAAUCUGACUACUUAAACGACUUCACAUAUUACCACCUUUAGCCAAUCCUUCCAUUUCACCCUGAACAUCUCUUGUAACGUGUGCUGCGUUUUGGUUUGGUGUGUACAUGAUACUCAGGUUCCUAUAGCAACUACCUUAUCAAAAUCCAGUGAGAUAAGGUCAUAAAUAUGCCCUUUGUCCUUAGUGACUCCACCGGCAUAGAAUGCACACAACAAAGUUCACUUCAUGCAGGUAGUUUUCUAGAGGAUUAUCCACACCUUAUAGAUGAUAGACAAUGUUGCCAUGGGUAAAACUGAGAACUAUUUUGUAAAACUUAGAAACAAGAGGAGAUUCUUAGUCCUGUUGCUAUCAAUGCUUACAUAUAAGAAUGAGCGUCUUGGGCUGGCCUGGUGGCGCAGCGGUAAAGUUUGCACCUUUGGCUUUGGCGACCCGGGGUUCGCCGGUUCGGAUCCUGGGUGCAGACCUACGCACUGCCUGUCAAGCCAUGCUGUGGCAGGCAUCCCACAUAUAAAGCAGAGGAAGAUGGGCAUGGAUGUUAGCUCAGGGCCAGUCUUCCUCAGCAAAAAGAAGAGAAUUGGCGGCAGAUAUUAGCUCAAGGCUAAACUCCCUCAAAAAAGAUGAACGUCUAAAUAAAUACUAUCUUUCCUCUUUAAAUACCAGUGAGAUAAGAAAUACUGAUGCACGUACAGAGUAAGGAUAUUGAUGUUCUGUAUCACAUAAAAUCAACCAAGAUAAUAAAAACAUGUUAAAGAAGUUACAAGUAUUGUUCUUAAUUCCAGAGAUUUGCUUAAUAGAGCUUUUGUUUUCAAGGAGGAUUUUAAAUUAUUAUUUCCUUCUACAUUUUCAUAGCUUAGAGUUACAUUGUUUGAACACGAAUCCUAUCUGGUUUAAUGGAAUAGAGAAUCUUUCUGAACGCCUUGAGUCUUUUGAUGGCAUUAUUGAGUAUGGAAUGAUAAUAGGGAGCCAAGGUAAAGUAUUGCUUUCUCUUCCAAACAUGCUGUGACAUCACGAAAUAUGAUUCAGGUCAUCUGUUCCCUUCUCCUUGCCUGAGAUUUUAAGGUCCUUAAAUUAUUGGGGGUUCUUUUUGGGUUUUUUGUUAUUGUUGUUGUUGUUGAGGAUGAUUAGCCCUGAGCUAACUGCUGCCAAUCCUCCUCUUUUUGCUGAGGAAGGCUGGCCCUG
ensembl:lncRNA